AUUGUUAUUUUUUGAUUAAUUAAUUAUGUAGGGUUUGUUGUCGUUAUCCAGGAAAGGCAUGAAUUGAGUUAUGGAAAGUAGGGGUGCAAUAGUCAUUCCCUAAUUCUAUAAGAACGAACAAAGAAAUUGUAGAAUGAUUGCUUCUUCAAAAGGCACAGUACGUACACAUAAAAAAACGUAUGGAGAGAGAGAGAGAGAGAGGUAUAGAAUAGAGAGGCACAGAGAACAUAGUAUUUAGCUAUGUGGUUUUCUUUUUUUCCUUUUCUGUGUACUGGAUUUUUGGUUGAGUUUAUUCAUUUGAAAGAAUGGAGAUAUUGAAGUGUACUUUCUGGGUGAGGUUGUUAUUCCUUAAUGGCUGUGUUUCUGUUUUCUGAUUUUACUAAAUAAUUUCCCCCAAAUAGUAAUCUUUCCCUUUUGCCAUUAAAACUUUGAUAGAGAUAUUCUUACUUGUUGGUACGGUUUUUUUCAUUUUAUAUUCUUACUUGUUUGUACAGUUUUUUCAUUUAGUUUAAUAAAUAUUAUGGUAGAGGAUUCUGACCUUUUAAACAGGUGGUCAGAGAUUUAUCCCUGACUUUUGUGUAGAGUGAAAAUCUAACAUAGAUUAGUCAUUGUUACACGGCGAUGAAUACUCCGAUACUUAUGUAUAUUAUCAUGGUUAUAAAAAAUUAUUAUUAUGGUGUUCAUUGAUGCAAAACGAAAGGGUUGAUUUUUAUGUAUUCUUGAGUGGUGUACUGGUGUUUUAUAGCAUAGUUAAAAAAUUUAGUAGUGUUUUAUGGUAUCAUAAAUUAAGGUGAUAAACUUUUUUAUUCUGAAAUAGCUAUUUGAUGUGACUGGGACUGUUCACUCUUAUGUAAACUUGUGUUGGUCUUGUUUAAGAUACUUAAAAUGGUUGUGGGGGUGCAGUUCCCUUUAUAUUCUGAUGCCCCAAAUACUAGUUUUCAUCUGUUAUGCAACAAAACGGAAAAAUGUCUACGUUUCAUUUUGGAAAUUCUACUGUUUUCAUUAUUAAGGAGUGGAGCUUUUUGUAGAAACUUAGGGAUCUCAUUACUCCUAACAUGUCAUUUUUUUCUUCCAUAUAUGGUUUAAAAGGUCUCUAUUUGUUUGUUUGUUUUAACUAAUAAGGUAUCUCUGCAUUGGAAUAUAGGUUUCCAAAUUGUAGGCAACAAAGUACAGUGUAAAGCUAGUUAAAAAGGUACUGUUUAUAGGUCAAUAAAGUUACUCUUAAAAGGUUGUGUCCAGCUUGCAAGAGAAUUUAUGGGCGAUGGUUAAAGGAUAUGGUAUCAAAUUCAUGUGGAUGGAUAUGUUGAAUUCAAUGAAAGCAGAACUCAGUUUGGCGCAUCAUGUGAAGCAUAAAUUUUGAUUCCAGUACUGGUGGGUGUGUACAUAUAUGGAGUAGUAGUUAGAGUUACAACGUUGUGAAUCUUCAUCUAUCUAAGGAUAUUCUAUUAUCUUGUUAUUUUUUUUCUUAUUAAUAUUUUAUUGCUGUCACAUUCUAUAUUCACUUUUUUCCAGUAGUUAUCUGAGUA